rfam:Gossypium raimondii Chr03_contig_141, whole genome shotgun sequence.
CACGUCAGCGCGCUUUGAUUACGUGGACACAAAUCGCGCUUACGUGGACGUGAUUUGCUGACACAUCAGCAAAACGCGCUGACGUGG